GAUGAACGCUAGCGGCAGGCCUAACACAUGCAAGUCGAACGGUCUUUUCUAUGGAAGCUUGCUUCCGCUGAGAAGAUAGUGGCGAAACGGGUGAGUAACACGUGGGUAACCUGCCCAUAAGAGGGGGAUAACAUCCGGAAACGGGUGCUAAUACCGCAUAGUUUCUUGAUCGCAUGAUUGAGAAAGGAAGACGGCCUUUGUGCUGUCGCUUAUGGAUGGACCCGCGGCGUAUUAGUUAGUUGGUGAGGUAACGGCUCACCAAGCGAUGAUACGUAGCCGACCUGAGA
rnacentral:rRNA from 1 species